rnacentral:piRNA from 1 species
UGGCCUCGCAACUGAUGCACUUUUCAUCC